UACGAAGGUCCCAAGCGUUAUCCGGAUUUAUUGGGUUUAAAGGGUGCGUAGGCGGGCUAUUAAGUCAGUGGUGAAAGCCCCAAGCUUAACUUGGGAACUGCCAUUGAUACUGAUGGUCUUGAGUACAUUUGAGGUGGGCGGAAUGUGUCAUGUAGCGGUGAAAUGCUUAGAUAUGACACAGAACACCAAUUGCGAAGGCAGCUCGCUAAACUGUAACUGACGCUGAGGCACGAAAGCGUGGGGAUCAAACAGG
rnacentral:rRNA from 1 species